AUGGCCCAUGGGAAGAGGUCUAGGCAGCAGGCCGAGUCGACCUCGGUCAGCCUGCUGGACCUGGACAGCGGCGACAUGGCGCGCAUCCUGCUGCUCUUCUCCGGCCACCACCAGCACCACGCCCACUACGGGCCUUCGUCGCCUGAGAGGGUGUUCGAGUGCAAGACCUGCAACCGGCGGUUCCCGUCCUUCCAGGCGCUCGGUGGGCACCGCGCCAGCCACAAGAAGCCGCGCCUGGCGGACGGCGCCGGCGCCGAGCCGCCCAAGCCCAAGGUGCACGGCUGCUCCAUCUGCGGGCUCGAGUUCGCCGUCGGCCAGGCGCUCGGCGGCCACAUGCGCCGCCACCGCGCUGUCGCGGCGGCAGGGCCCGGCGUCGGGCUUGGGCUCAGCCUCGGCCUCGGUCUCGGGCCGAACGAGGACGGCAACAAGAAGGCGGCGGCGGCGGCCGAGCUGGCGCUCGACCUGAACGAGCCGGCACUGGAGGAGGAGCCGGCCGAUCGCGCCAUGCUUGGGCUCGCCGUGGGAUUCCGGCCCCGUGGUGGUUGA
rnacentral:rRNA from 1 species